rnacentral:rRNA from 1 species
AGUGAACGCUGGCGGCAGGCCUAAUACAUGCAAGUCGAACGGCAGCACAGCAGAGCUUGCUCCGUGGGUGGCGAGUGGCGGACGGGUGAGGAAUACAUGGGAGUCUGCCCAGUCGUGGGGAUAACGUAGGGAAACUUACGCUAAUACCGCAUGCGCCCUUCGGGGGAAAGCCGGGGACCUUCGGGCCUGGCGCGAUUGGAUGAGCCCAUGUCGGAUUAGCUAGUUGGCGGGGGUAAUGGCCCACCAAGGCGACGAUCCGUAGCUGGUCUGAGAGGAUGAUCAGCCACACUGGAACUGAGACACGGUCCAGACUCCUACGGGAGGCAGCAGUAGGAAUAUUGGACAAUGGGCGCAAGCCUGAUCCAGCCAUGCCGCGUGAGUGAAGAAGGCCUUCGGGUUGUAAACGCGUACUUUCGGUGGGAGAAAUUGCACAGGAUAAUACCUUGUGUAGA